GAGUGAGGGAGGGGGUGACUAGUGACAGUGAGGGAGCGGGUGACAGUGACAGAGUUAGGGAGGGAGUGACUAGUGACAGUCACUCCCUCCCUCUGUCACUAGUCACUCCCUCCCUCUGUCACUAGUCACUCCCUCCCUCUGUCACUAGUCACUCCCUCCCUCUGUCACCAGUCAUCCCCUCACUCUGUCACCAGUCACCCCUUCCCUCCCUCACUC